CUCGCGGCCUGGGCGGGCGUGGCGCCUCCCGCUUCCCGCGGGUUGGGUCCCUGGCCGUGCUGGGAGGACGGCGGGUCCUGCGGGACUCCGCGGCCUUCAAGGAGGAACGGCCAGGCCAGAGGAGAGCAGCGGCUGUUUGGGUGCCCAGUCUUUCCUGCUCCUGCACGUCACGGGACUCGGGCAUUUGCCAGCUAACGGAACACAGCGAGUGGCGUGUGAACCCCAGACAAGGAAACAGAGGAGCCUUUUGAGAGCCGGGCACCCAGCAGGGAGGGGGCGUCUGGAGCGGGACGCCCUGGGCAGGCGGCUUCCCAGGGAAGCAGUGUAAGCGGGCAGCUCAUGCACAGAACCCUCGUCUGCACCUUACAGGCAGCCUCUCGGCUGCCAGCCUCCAUCAUUUUUCUGCUUCCCUCCCAAAUCUGUUCUCUGGGGCCACUUUAGUUUCCUUUACCAAACACGGUGCGUGUGUCUGCACGUCGGGGAACAAGUGGGGGCUGGAACGUGGGGACGGGGUGCUGGUGCCCGGGGCUAGCAAGGGAGCCUCUGCCUCCCUGGACAUGGUCCCAGAGGGCACGCUGAGGGGGCCGUGUGCACAGCCCGCACCGGCCAUGAGGGAUGCGUCCCGGGCACUUCUGAGCAGGGCCACUGCUUCCUCGGGAGGGACAGAGCUGCUAAGCCCUGGAACGUGCCCCGCUCCCCAUGGUGCAGAGGGGGGACACCCGGGGCCCCCGCAGGAGGAGCCCCACCCAGUCCUGCCGAGCAGCGGCCGCAGCGCGCACGUGUGGCACCUGGGCCUGGUAAACAGCGGGUUCUGGCUCAGCAGGUCCCUGCGCUGCCCACAGCCCCCCGGCCCAGGGGCAGCACUGUGAGGGCAGCACCCCAGCCUGGGGGAGCAGCGCCUCAUCUGAAUGGAAUGAGGAAGUGAGGAAAUGUGGCCUGUCCACAAAGUGCUGCCUGCUUCUACGAGGGACACGGGAGGCACCCGCUUCAGGUGCUGCCUUCCCAGCCUCACUGAGAACUGCAGACAGAUCCCAGCUGGGGGACACGCCACACCCACCAAGCCACUGCUCUGAAAACUGCCAGAGCCGGCAGCCAGCAGGCAAGCGGGAAUUCACAGCCCAGGGAAGCGUAACGAGACAUCACAACCAAGAGUGAAGUGGGGUCUAGGGACAGGAAACGACAUUAGAUAAAAACGAAGGAAACGUGAAUUUAGCGCAGACUUCAGUUAAUGACGUAUCGACACUGGUUCGCUAGCUGGUAGAAAACCCACCAUGUUAAAGGGAGAUGUUAAUGAUACAGAAAACUGGCCAUGGGGUAGAAGGGUCUUGUGCUAUAUUUGCAGCUUUUCUAUAAAUCUAAGACUAUUCUAAACUUGAAA